UAAUUGAAGAGUUUGAUCAUGGCUCAGAUUGAACGCUGGCGGCAGGCCUAACACAUGCAAGUCGAGCGGCAGCGGGAGGAAGCUUGCUUCCUCGCCGGCGAGCGGCGGACGGGUGAGUAAUGUCUGGGGAUCUGCCCGAUGGAGGGGGAUAACCACUGGAAACGGUGGCUAAUACCGCAUAACGUCGCAAGACCAAAGUGGGGGACCUUCGGGCCUCACACCAUCGGAUGAACCCAGAUGGGAUUAGCUAGUAGGUGGGGUAAUGGCUCACCUAGGCGACGAUCCCUAGCUGGUCUGAGAGGAUGACCAGCCACACUGGAACUGAGACACGGUCCAGACUCCUACGGGAGGCAGCAGUGGGGAAUAUUGCACAAUGGGCGCAAGCCUGAUGCAGCCAUGCCGCGUGUGUGAAGAAGGCCUUCGGGUUGUAAAGCACUUUCAGCGAGGAGGAAGGUGGUGAGCUUAAUACGCUCAUCAAUUGACGUUACUCGCAGAAGAAGCACCGGCUAACUCCGUGCCAGCAGCCGCGGUAAUACGGAGGGUGCAAGCGUUAAUCGGAAUUACUGGGCGUAAAGCGCACGCAGGCGGUUUGUUAAGUCAGAUGUGAAAUCCCCGAGCUUAACUUGGGAACUGCAUUUGAAACUGGCAAGCUAGAGUCUCGUAGAGGGGGGUAGAAUUCCAGGUGUAGCGGUGAAAUGCGUAGAGAUCUGGAGGAAUACCGGUGGCGAAGGCGGCCCCCUGGACGAAGACUGACGCUCAGGUGCGAAAGCGUGGGGAGCAAACAGGAUUAGAUACCCUGGUAGUCCACGCCGUAAACGAUGUCGAUUUGGAGGUUGUGCCCUUGAGGCGUGGCUUCCGGAGCUAACGCGUUAAAUCGACCGCCUGGGGAGUACGGCCGCAAGGUUAAAACUCAAAUGAAUUGACGGGGGCCCGCACAAGCGGUGGAGCAUGUGGUUUAAUUCGAUGCAACGCGAAGAACCUUACCUACUCUUGACAUCCAGAGAACUUCCAGAGAUGGAUUGGUGCCUUCGGGAACUCUGAGACAGGUGCUGCAUGGCUGUCGUCAGCUCGUGUUGUGAAAUGUUGGGUUAAGUCCCGCAACGAGCGCAACCCUUAUCCUUUGUUGCCAGCGGUUAGGCCGGGAACUCAAAGGAGACUGCCAGUGAUAAACUGGAGGAAGGUGGGGAUGACGUCAAGUCAUCAUGGCCCUUACGAGUAGGGCUACACACGUGCUACAAUGGCGUAUACAAAGAGAAGCGAACCUGCGAAGGCAAGCGGACCUCAUAAAGUACGUCGUAGUCCGGAUUGGAGUCUGCAACUCGACUCCAUGAAGUCGGAAUCGCUAGUAAUCGUAGAUCAGAAUGCUACGGUGAAUACGUUCCCGGGCCUUGUACACACCGCCCGUCACACCAUGGGAGUGGGUUGCAAAAGAAGUAGGUAGCUUAACCUUCGGGAGGGCGCUUACCACUUUGUGAUUCAUGACUGGGGUGAAGUCGUAACAAGGUAACCGUAGGGGAACCUGCGGUUGGAUCACCUCCUUA
rnacentral:rRNA from 1 species